UCCUUCUGUAGCAGAGCUUAACGGAGACCUUGCACCCGAGAGGGGGAGGCGACUAUAAAAGAACUCCCAGCGCAAGUCAGCCUAGCUGGCAACACAAUCGAAUUGCGGGGACGCUUUAAAGCCCACCGGUACCAACUGCUCCUCUGGGGCGGGGCCAGCUAUGCUGGAGGUCACAACCCGGUAGGAUACUACAAUAAGCAAUCCGCAGCGGCUCAGCCGUCCACAGACUAAGUGGUUGUGGGUAGGGAUCCCCUACUUAAGAUAUAGUCGGGCCUUGUGACAAGUCAUAAGGGCUUCUGCGUCCGUAGGUGAACCUGCGGAAGGAUCAUUA
rnacentral:ncRNA from 1 species